rnacentral:misc_RNA from 1 species
CCUUCUUCUUCUUCUUCUUUUCUUGCCCACUCCCUUUUCCAUGUUUUCAAUGUGAUGCUCAUGAUUAACAGGACCUAAGUAUAUAAAUUGGAUCAAUGUGAUGUUCAUGAUUAACAUAAUCUAAGUAUAUGAACUGAACAGACUAAAAACAAUAAUACAAUAUGAAGGCCCUGGAAAACUAAGCUACCAAGGACAAUAAUGUGUCCUUCAAAAUUCUAAGCUACAUUCCAUAAAACAUGAAGUCUUAUUUCUCCCUCAGCAGGAAAAAAAAAAAAAGGAAAAAGAAGAAGAAUCGGGAAAGAGG